CCUUCUUUUUCUUCGUCUUCAACAGAAGAGCGUGCUUUUACGACACACUGAAAGAUUUCCGAAGAAAAAACAUAAACUAAAAUGGGUGAUGACCAGCGAAGAAUCUACGUCGGAAGCCUUUCCUUUAAAACAGAUGAAGGGUCUCUCAGAGAUCUAUGUGAAAAGCACGGAUCAGUAGAAGAUGUGAAAAUCCUCCUUGAUCGAGACACUGGUAGAUCUAGAGGCUUUGGUUUUGUUACUUUUGAGCAUGAAGAUGAGGCAAAAGCCUGUGUCGUGGCAAUUCAUGGAACUGAAUGGGAUGGAAGAACAAUUAAAGCGAGCAUUGCCACUGGUAGAAAUGACAGCAGCAGAAGAGGGGGCCAAAGAGGUGGCGGAUAUAGGUCUGGAGGUUACCGUGGUGGUGGUGGUGGUGGUGGUGAAGGUGGAUACCAGGGAGACAGCAGUAGCUAUGGAGGCUAUGAUGAUGGAAGAAGAGGUUAUAGUGGAGGCAGCGGGGGUUACUCCAGAGGUAGAGGUGGUUACUCUGGAGGUGGCUCCUCAUAUGGCAGCAGUGACUAUAGUUCCGGUGCCGGUGGUUACAGUUCAGGUGGCUAUAAAGACAGAUAUUGAGUAGCAUGAGCUCACUCCAUAGCUAUCUAAGUCGUUGCUGAGCAAUGCAGAACAGUCGUCUACGAGUAAGUUCCCAAUGAAGAUUUCUGCGUACGGCCGCUGAUUUCCAUCGAGUAUUAAAAGAAGAUUCCACUGGAAUACUGCAUCGAAGAUGAUAGUUUAGAUUUAUUUCUGUCAACAGAGGAACAUUGUAACUGUUCAAACUCCAAAGAUAGACAAAAUGCAAGUGAGAAAGAAGAAGGAAGAAGGAGUCCAAGAAGGAGUUGUCAGAUCUUCAGACAAACCAUCAUGCAUUGGGUCCUUGAUAACUGGCACUGAAGAGUUCAUGCGACGAAGUUCGAUUCAAAGGCUAAAUUGGUCAUCUUGCUGCAUUUCUGCAGCAUGCAGCGAUGCAAUCAAUAAACGAGUCAUCAUGAUUUGCUGUUCUGGGAACCAGCUUUCUGUAAAUGUUUCUUGUAGUGACAUAUCGUUUUUUGCCUGAUUUAAACGAUUCUGCAUUAAACCCAACAUUCGUCUAACAUUCUUGCGAUGAUAUUGCAAUUGAAGUGAUCUUAAAGAAUCAUCUUGAUAAAGCAAUCGAGAACUGAAAUUUUGGUUGAAUUGUUGGGCAAUAUUGUGGGUUGUUUACGCAACUUUGCAAUACUUCCAGUCACGUAUAAUCUGUGUGUAACGUAUAAUUUUUUCAGUGAUCGAUUUGUAAAACUAUGAUUAUUCACAAAGAAAAGAGUUCUACAGUUCAUAGACUUGCUCAUCGUUUGAUUAUUUAUGAUUAUUGAUGUCUAAAUAGUCAAUAGGUAUUUGUCAAGAAGUUUUAAUCCUUUGCCAAUGUUUUUUUAUUUCGGUACUGAAUGGCGAUAAAUGCCUGGUGAUAAGGUAACAGUUCUUGUGAGUAUUCUACAAAACACAAAGUCUGUUGUAUCCAACAUUCCAACCAAAUGUUUUUGUCAACUAGGAGAGGCAAACUGCUGUA